UUAAUUGAAACCAAAAAAGAGGUAUAUCACUGUUAAUGAUAAAAUUGGGAUUUUCUCCGAUUAA
rnacentral:tRNA from 1 species